GUUAAGCAUACUUAAGGCUUUUGGUGAAUGCCUUGGCAUGGAUAGGCGAUGAAGGACGUGAUAAGCUGCGAUAAGCUACGGGGAGCUGCAAAUGAGCUGAGAUCCGUAGAUGUCCGAAUGGGGAAACCCGGUAGGUUCAGCCUGCCACUUAGCACUGAAUACAUAGGUGUUAAGAGCAAACCCGGCCAACUGAAACAUCUCAGUAGCCGGAGGAGAAGAGAACAAGAGUGAUUUCCUGAGUAGCGGCGAGCGAAAGGGAAAAAGCCCAAACUGAUGUGGUUUCGGCUGCAUCAGGGUUGUAGGGCCCGCAAUAUGAGUCACGCGACGAAGACGAAGCUGUCUGGAAAGCAGCACCAUAGAAGGUGAUAGUCCUGUAGACGUAAAGCAACUGACUCUAGCGGGGUCCCUGAGUACCACGGGACAGGAGAAAUCCUGUGGGAAUCUGCCAGCACCAUCUGGUAAGGCUAAAUACUCAUCCAUGACCGAUAGUGAACCAGUACCGUGAGGGAAAGGUGAAAAGAACGCCUAAUAGGCGAGUAAAAAGUACCUGAAACCAAAAGCUUACAACCAGUUGGAGCCCCUUCGUGGGGUGACAGCGUGCCUUUUGCUUAAUGAGCCUACGAGUUGCUCCUCCCUGGCAAGGCUAAGACCUUCAGGGUCGAAACCGCAGCGAAAGCAAGUCUGAAUAGGGCGAUGAGUCAGUGGGGGCAGACGCGAAACCGGGUGAGCUACCUAUGGCCAGGUUGAAGCGCGGGUAAGACCGCGUGGAGGACCGAACCGCCUGACGUUGAAAAGUCAUCGGAUGAGCUGUGGGUAGGGGUGAAAGGCCAAUCAAACCCGGAAAUAGCUCGUACUCCCCGAAAUGCAUUUAGGUGCAGCACCGCGUUAAAGUCUAUUGGAGGUAGAGCACUGAUUGGGCUAGGGCCCUUCACCGGGUACCAAACCCAGACAAACUCCGAAUACCAAUCAGACGUUCCGCGGCAGUGAGGGCACGGGGGAUAAGCUCCGUGUCCGAGAGGGAAACAACCCAGAUCGACAGCUAAGGCCCCAAAGUUUAGGUUAAGUUGAACGAAGGAAGUUAGACUGCAUAGACAACCAGGAUGUUGGCUUAGAAGCAGCCAUUCAUUAAAAGAGUGCGUAAUAGCUCACUGGUCGAGCGGUUUAGCGCCGAAAAUAACCGGGCAUCAAACCUAACGCCGAAGCUUCGAAUGUGUCUUUUAGGCACAUGGUAGGGGAGCAUUCCAGCGACGUCGAAGCAGUGUUGUGAAGCGCUGUGGAGUUUCUGGAAAAGAAAAUGUAGGCAUGAGUAACGAUAAGACAGGCGAGAAACCUGUCCGCCGUAAGCCUAAGAAUUCCUGUUCAACGUUAAUCGGAACAGGGUAAGUCGAGACCUAAGCCGAGGCCGAAAGGCGUAGGCGAUGGAAAACGGGUUAAUAUUCCCGUACCACUCGAAGACGUUAAUGUAAGGCGUGACACGGAUGCGUAAGGACCGCGUGCUGUUGGAUUAGCACGUUGAAGCGCGUAGGCUGAGAACUAGGUAAAUCCGGUUCUCGUGAAGGCUGAAACGCGACAGUAUGGGGAGCCUCCGGGCAAACCAAUAGAGUCCCUAAGCAGGCCGUCAAGAAAAGCGUCGUACAUUGUCAAGAGUGCUCGUAUCUUAAACCGACACAGGUAGGCGAGGAGAGUAUCCUCAGGCGCUCGAGUGAUUCGCGGUUAAGGAAUUCGGCAAAUUAGCCCCGUAACUUCGGGAGAAGGGGCACCCGCUCUCGUUCAAAAGGGAGAGUGGGUCGCAGUGAACAGAUCCAAACGACUGUUUAACAAAAACACAGACCUCUGCUAAGUCGCAAGACGACGUAUAGGGGUUGACACCUGCCCGGUACUGGAAGGUCAAGGGAGUGUGUUAAUACCUUCGGGUAUGAAGCUCACGACUGAAGCCCCAGUAAACGGCGGCCGUAACUAUAACGGUCCUAAGGUAGCGAAAUUCCUUGUCGGGUAAGUUCCGACCUGCACGAAUGGUGCAACGAUUUGGAUACUGUCUCGACCGCGAGCUCGGUGAAAUUGUGGUGCCGGUGAAGACGCCGGCUUCCCUCAGUGGGACGGAAAGACCCCGUGCACCUUUACUACACCUUGGCAUUGACAUUAGUCAGGAUUUGUGCAGGAUAGGCGGGAGACUUUGAAGCUGCGUCGCUAGGCGUGGUGGAGUCACCCUUGGAAUACCGCCCUAAUCCUGAUUGAUGCCUAACCAUCGACCGUUAGCCGGUCGUGGGACAUUGUCAGGCGGGUAGUUUGACUGGGGCGGUCUCCUCCUAAAUAGUAACGGAGGAUUUCAAAGGUACCCUCAGCAUGGUCGGUAAUCAUGCGCAGAGUGCAAAGGCAAAAGGGUGCUUGACUGUGAGACAUACAGGUCGAACAGGAGCGAAAGCUGGACUUAGUGAUCCGGUGGUUCUGUAUGGAAGGGCCAUCGCUCAAAGGAUAAAAGGUACGCCGGGGAUAACAGGCUUAUCUCCGCCAAGAGUUCAUAUCGACGCGGAGGUUUGGCACCUCGAUGUCGGCUCGUCGCAUCCUGGGGCUGAAGAAGGUCCCAAGGGUUGGGCUGUUCGCCCAUUAAAGCGGCACGCGAGCUGGGUUCAGAACGUCGUGAGACAGUUCGGUCCCUAUCUACUGAGGGCGUUGGAAAUUUGAGCGGAGCUGCUUCUAGUACGAGAGGACCGAAGUGGACGGACCGCUAGUGUACGAGUUAUGCCGCCAGGUGUAUCGCUCGGUAGCUAUGUCCGGAAGGGAUAAGCGCUGAAAGCAUCUAAGCACCAAGCCCCCCGCAAGAAUAGAUUUCCCCAAUAGGUCGUUCGAGAUGAGAACGUGGAUAGGCAGCAGGUGUAAGCAUGGCAACAUGUUCAGCCGAGCUGUACUAAUUACCUAUGAGGCUUAGCAC
rnacentral:rRNA from 1 species